rnacentral:rRNA from 1 species
GACGAACGCUGGCGGCGUGCUUAACACAUGCAAGUCGAACGGAAAGGCCCUGCUUUUGUGGGGUGCUCGAGUGGCGAACGGGUGAGUAACACGUGAGUAAACUGUCCUUGACUUUGGGAUAACUUCAGGAAACUGGGGCUAAUACAGGAUAGGAGAUCCUGCAGCAUGGUGGGGGUUGGAAAGUUUCGGCGGUUGGGGAUGGACUCGCGGCUUAUCAGCUUGUUGGUGAGGUAGUGGCUUACCAAGGCUUUGACGGGUAGCCGGCCUGAGGGGGUGACCGGCCACAUUGGGACUGAGGUACGGCCCAGACUCCUAUGGGAGGCAGCAGUGGGGAAUAUUGCACGAUGGGCGGAAGCCUGAUGCAGCAACGCCGCGUGCGGGAUGACGGCCUUCGGGUUGUAACCCGCUUUCGCCUGUGACGAAGCGUGAGUGACGGUAAUGGGUAAAGAAGCACCGGCUAACUACGUG